rnacentral:pre_miRNA from 1 species
CAAGUACUCCCUCCGUCCGGAAUUACUUGUCUCAAAAUGGAUGUGUCUAGAACUAAAAUACAUCUAGAUACAUCCAUUUCAAUGACAAGCAUUUUCGGACGGAGGGAGUACAAG